rnacentral:rRNA from 1 species
AACGAACGCUGGCGGCAUGCCUAACACAUGCAAGUCGAACGAGACCUUCGGGUCUAGUGGCGCACGGGUGCGUAACGCGUGGGAACCUGCCCUUAGGUUCGGAAUAACUCCCCGAAAGAGGUGCUAAUACCGGAUAAUGUCUUCGGACCAAAGAUUUAUCGCCUUUGGAUGGGCCCGCGUUGGAUUAGCUAGUUGGUAGGGUAAAAGCCUACCAAGGCGACGAUCCAUGGCUGGUCUGAGAGGAUGAUCAGCCACACUGGGACUGAGACACGGCCCAGACUCCUACGGGAGGCAGCAGUGGGGAAUAUUGGACAAUGGGCGAAAGCCUGAUCCAGCAAUGCCGCGUGAGUGAUGAAGGCCUUAGGGUUGUAAAGCUCUUUUACCCGGGAUGAUAAUGACAGUACCGGGAGAAUAAGCUCCGGCUAACUCCGUG